rnacentral:lncRNA from 1 species
AAUCAUUGAUUGUUUUCAAAUAACCACAAAGAUAUCGGAACACUAUACCUGCUAUUUGGCUCAUGAGCGGGGAUAGUAGGCCAUCACCUUAAGCCUUCUAAUUCGAGCAGAAUUGGGCCAACCAGGGACUCUGCUAGAAGAUGAUCAGAUCUACAACGUUAUUGUUGCUGCCCACACAUUCGUUAUAAUCUUCUUUAUAGUAAUACCAAUCACGAUUGGGGUUUUGGCAACUGCCUAGUCCCUCUGAUAACUGGUGCACCCGAUAUGGCAUUCCCUGGAUAAAUAAUAUGAGCUUCUGACUUCUCCCCGCCAUCUUUUCUACUCCUACUUGCGUCCUCAAUAGUAGAAGCUGGCGCUUGAAUCAGCUAAACAGUUUAUCCCCCUUUAGCAGGAAACCUAGCACAUGCAGGAGCCUCUGGAUCUGAUCAUCUUCUCGCUCCACUUAGCAGGUGUUUCUUCUAUUUUGGGGGCCAUUAACUUUAUUGCCACAAUUAUUAACAUAAAACCCCCAACCAUAUCCCAGUAUCAAGCAUCCCUUUUUGUCUGAUCAAUCCUCAUUACCGCAGUCCUUCUACUCCUUUUCCCCCAAGUCCUAGCUACUGUCAUUACUAUACUAUUAACUGACUGUAACCUCAACACUACUUUUUUUGACCCUGCUGGUGGGGGUGACUUUGUCUGGUACCAAUCUUGUACCAACAUUUAUUCUGAUUGUUUGGUCACACUGAAGUCUAUAUCCUUAUCCUACCAGGCUUCAGGAUAAUCUUCCACAUCAUAACAUAUUAUUCUGGAAACAAAAGUAACCAUUUGGUUACAUGGGUAUAGUAGUAGUCAUAAUAUCAAUUGGCUUCUUGGGAUUUAUAAUAUGAGCCCACCAUAUAUUUACAGUAGGAAUAGGUGUAGACACACGAGCAUACUUCACCUCCGCUACUAUAAUUAUAGCUAUCCCUACUGGCAUCAAGGUCUACAGCUAAUUAGCUACACUGCAUGGUGGUAAUAUCAAAUGACCUCCUGCAAUAUUCUGAGCCCUAGGAUUCAUUUUUCUUUUCAAAGUAGGAAGUUUAAACGGCAUCGUACUAGCUAACUCAUCACUAGACAUUGUCUUACAUGACACAUAUUAUGUUGUAGCCCAUUUCCGCUACGUCCUAUCAAUAGGAGCAGUAUUCACCAUUAUAGGAGGCUUUGUCCACUGAUUCCCCCUAUUUUCAGGUUAUACACUUAAUCAGACCUACGCUGAUCAAAUCCACUUAAUCAAAUCCACUUCACCAUUAUAUUCGUAGGUGUUAAUUUAACCUUUUUUUCCACAGCACUUCCUUGGCCUAUCCAGUAUGCCUCGAUGUUACUCUGAUUAUCCUGAUGUGUAUGCCGGAUGAAAUGUUAUUUCAUCUGUAGGCUCAUUUAUCUCACCAACAGCAGUUAUACUAACAAUCUUUAUAACCUGAGAAGCUUUUGCUUCAAAACGAAAAGUACUAACAAUCGAACAAUCAUCUACUAAUUUAGAGUGGCUUUAUGGCUGUCCACCACCUUACCACACAUUCCAAGAGCCAACCUACGUGAAAACC